rnacentral:rRNA from 1 species
CCUACGGGUGGCAGCAGUGGGGAAUCUUCCGCAAUGGACGAAAGUCUGACGGAGCAACGCCGCGUGAACGAAGAAGGUCUUCGGAUUGUAAAGUUCUGUGAUUCGGGACGAAAGGGUUUGUGGUGAAUAAUCAUAGACAUUGACGGUACCGAAAAAGCAAGCCACGGCUAACUACGUGCCAGCAGCCGCGGUAAUACGUAGGUGGCAAGCGUUGUCCGGAAUUAUUGGGCGUAAAGCGCGCGCAGGCGGUUUCUUAAGUCCAUCUUAAAAGCGUGGGGCUCAACCCCAUGAGGGGAUGGAAACUGGGAAGCUGGAGUAUCGGAGAGGAAAGUGGAAUUCCUAGUGUAGCGGUGAAAUGCGUAGAGAUUAGGAAGAACACCGGUGGCGAAGGCGACUUUCUAGACGAAAACUGACGCUGAGGCGCGAAAGCGUGGGGAGCAAACAGGAUUAGAUACCCGAGUAGUC